GGUAACACUGAAUGGAGGACCGAACCGACUUACGUUGAAAAGUGAGCGGAUGAACUGAGGGUAGCGGAGAAAUUCCAAUCGAACCUGGAGAUAGCUGGUUCUCUCCGAAAUAGCUUUAGGGCUAGCCUCAAGUGAUGAUUAUUGGAGGUAGAGCACUGUUUGGACGAGGGGCCCCUCUCGGGUUACCGAAUUCAGACAAACUCCGAAUGCCAAUUAAUUUAACUUGGGAGUCAGAACAUGGGUGAUAAGGUCCGUGUUCGAAAGGGAAACAGCCCAGACCACCAGCUAAGGUCCCAAAAUAUAUGUUAAGUGGAAAAGGAUGUGGCGUUGCCCAGACAACUAGGAUGUUGGCUUAGAAGCAGCCAUCAUUUAAAGAGUGCGUAAUAGCUCACUAGUCGAGUGACACUGCGCCGAAAAUGUACCGGGGCUAAACAUAUUACCGAAGCUGUGGAUUGUCCUUUGGACAAUGGUAGGAGAGCGUUCUAAGGGCGUUGAAGCAUGAUCGUAAGGACAUGUGGAGCGCUUAGAAGUGAGAAUGCCGGUGUGAGUAGCGAAAGACGGGUGAGAAUCCCGUCCACCGAUUGACUAAGGUUUCCAGAGGAAGGCUCGUCCGC
rnacentral:rRNA from 1 species